GAUGAACGCUGGCGGCGUGCUUAACACAUGCAAGUCGAACGGGAAUUAUUUUAUUGAAACUUCGGUCGAUCUGAUUUAAUUCUAGUGGCGGACGGUGAGUAACGCGUGGGUAACCUGCCUUGUACAGGGGGAUAACAGUCAGAAAUGGCUGCUAAUACCGCAUAAGCGCACAGAGCUGCAUGGCUCCGUGUGAAAAACUACGGUGGUAUAAGAUGGACCCGCGUUGGAUUAGCUUGUUGGCAGGGUAACGGCCUACCAAGGCGACGAUCCAUAGCCGGCCUGAGAGGGUGAACGGCCACAUUGGGACUGAGACACGGCCCAGACUCCUACGGGAGGCAGCAGUGGGGAAUAUUGCACAAUGGGGGAAACCCUGAUGCAGCGACGCCGCGUGAAGGAAGAAGUAUCUCGGUAUGUAAACUUCUAUCAGCAGGGAAGAGAUUGACGGUACCUGACUAAGAAGCCCCGGCUAACUACGUG
rnacentral:rRNA from 1 species